UUCCCGUUGUGGGUGCCAUGACAGAGAAGACUGUCCAAGUUGCAUCAGACCAUAUGGAAAGUGACACCAUCCUGAAGAAUGUAGUUCUUUAACAGUGCCUGACAAAAACCAGGGGGACCACGAAAAAACUUGGGAACUCUAGACUUUGAAGUAAUACUUCAAUGACAGCCGAACUGAGACAUUUAACAGCUUCCUGAACAGACCUUUCUGUAUUCUGUACCAUACUAAAGAACUCCUUUGCUCUUGAAAGUUUUCUCAUGUAGGAGGCUAUUAAAGUUAUG